CAGCAAUCCCGUCCCUCUGCCUGUGAUCUAAUUAAGCUAGCUAAAGGAAUAAGCUAAUUAUCCACAGGCAGAAAAUAUUAAUUUUUUACCCAAAGCACAGAAAACACCCCAAAACACCACAUAUCCCCACAUCAGAGCAGGGGUUCAAAAGUUUUAUGGAAGUCUCUUUUGACCGACCGCAAGCAUGGCUUUCAUGCCCAAAAUAGUUCCACAGAUUUAGGCUGUGCAGCCGGUCUAAGUCCAAUGUUAAAAAUGCCCUAUAGUACAAGGAAG